rnacentral:rRNA from 1 species
UACAGAGGUGGCAAGCGUUGUUCGGAAUUACUGGGCGUAAAGGGCUCGUAGGCGGCCAACUAAGUCAGACGUGAAAUCCCUCGGCUUAACCGGGGAACUGCAUCUGAUACUGGAUGGCUUGAGUUCGGGAGGGGGAUGUGGAAUUCCAGGUGUAGCGGUGAAAUGCGUAGAUAUCUGGGGGAACACCGGUGGCGAAGGCGGCAUCCUGGACCGACACUGACGCUGAGGAGCGAAAGCCAGGGGAGCAAACGGG